GACGAACGCUGGCGGCAUGCUUAACACAUGCAAGUCGAACGGAAAAGGCCUGCUUGUGUCUGGUGCCCGAGUGGCGAACGGGUGAGUUACACGUGAGUAACCUUCCCUUGACUUUAGGAUAACUUGAGGAAACCGGGGCUAAUACCGGCUAGGAGCUCCUGCUGCAUGGUGGGGUUUGGAAAGCUUCGGCGGAUGGGGAUGGACUCGGGGCUUAUGAGCUUGUUGGUGGGGUAGUGGCUUACCAAGCCUUUGACGGGUAGCCGGCCCGGGAGGUUGACCGGCCACAUUGGGACUGAGAUACGGCCCAGACUCGUACGGGAGGCAGCAGUGGGGAAUAUUGCACAAUGGGCGGAAGCCUGAUGAAGCAACGCCGCGUGCGGGAUGACGGCCUUCGGGUUGGAAACCGCUGUCGCUUGUGACGAAGCGGGAGUGACGGUAAUGGGUAAAGAAGCACCGGCUAACUACGUG
rnacentral:rRNA from 1 species